CAGUCGCCACGGGAAUACGAAGGGUGCAAGCGUUACUCGGAAUUACUGGGCGUAAAGCGUGCGUAGGUGGUGGUUUAAGUCCGUUGUGAAAGCCCUGGGCUCAACCUGGGAAUUGCAGUGGAUACUGGGUCACUAGAGUGUGGUAGAGGAUAGUGGAAUUUCCGGUGUAGCAGUGAAAUGCGUAGAGAUCGGAAGGAACAUCUGUGGCGAAGGCGACUAUCUGGGCCAACACUGACACUGAGGCACGAAAGCGUGGGGAGCAAACAGGAUUAGAUACCCGCGUAGUCCCUGUCUCUUAUAU
rnacentral:rRNA from 1 species